CUGGAAUAAAAACGGCCGGCGAGGAUCUCAAAAAGACCUCCCGGAGCAAAAACGGCCAGGAUCUCGUAAGAUCUCCUGGAGCAAAAAUGGCCGGUGAGGAUCUCAAAAAGACCUCCCGGAGCAAAAAUGGCCAGGAUCUUGUAAGAUCUCCUGGAGCAAAAACGGCCGGCGAGGAUCUCAAAAAGACCUCCCGGAGCAAAAACGGCCAGGAUCUUAUAAGAUCUCUUGGAGCAAAAAUGGCCGGUGAGGAUCUCAAAAACACCUCUCGGAGCAAAAACGGCCGGCGAGGAUCUCAAAAAGACCUCCCGGAGCAACAAAAACCGGGGUCCCCAGAGAUAUUCCGGUAACACAUGCUCAUAGCAAACAGAGGUACACAGCGACCAUACGCAAAAACAAAAGUCCGACCUCACAUAAAAGAUUGGGGCACGGGGUCAUAAAUAAAAAGCUAAAACUCCGACCUCCCAAAGGAGCUCGAGUCAUAAGACUUUGAUCUCGACUGCUAAGAGUAUCAAAGCGUCAUGCUGACCUCAAAAGGAAUGCUGAAACAAACAUAAAAAGACUUCAAAUUCGACCUCCCGAAAGAGCUCGGAUCAACAAAGCCAAUAAGGCCCCA
rnacentral:lncRNA from 1 species